rnacentral:rRNA from 1 species
CUACGGGCCGCACCAGGCGCGAAACCUUUACAAUGCACGCAAGUGUGAUAAGGGGAUCCUAAGUGCUUAUACAAUGUAUAGGCUUUUGUUAAGAGUAAAUAUCUUAGCGAAUAAGUGGUGGGUAAGACUGGUGCCAGCCGCCGCGGUAACACCAGCGCCACGAGUGGCAACCGCGUUUAUUGGGCCUAAAGCGUCUGUAGCCGGUUUGGCAAAUCUCUUGUGAAAUCGUCAGGCUUAACCUGACGGCGUGCUUGAGACACUACCUUACUAGAGACCGGGAGGGGUCAGAGGUAUUCCAGGGGGAGCGGUAAAAUGUGAUAAUCCCUGGAGGAUCACCUAUGGCGAAGGCAUCUGACCAGCACGGAUCUGACGGUGAGGGACGAAGGCUAGGGGAGCGAUCCGGAUUAGAUACCCCUGUAGUC